rnacentral:lncRNA from 1 species
GCCACUCGCCGCAGGGCCGAUGGUGGAAGGAAUGGGGGCGCCUGCGUGCAGAUUGGAGGGGGCAAUGGCGAAGUGGGCGAUGGGCGUCUUGGGAGGUGGUGUGUGCUCGAUCGGAUCGGGAGAGGAGAUCGUGGAAAGUUUGAGGCGAACGCAAUGGAUGCCUGGUGGUGCAUUCAUGACGUGUGGCUUCGAGAAUUUGUGCCCGGCCCUGGGAGUGGGGCCGGUUGGCCUGGAGCUGUGUGGGUUUCUGCUGGAGAGUGCACCGCGGGCCCCUGGUGGCCCUGAGAUGUGCAGAGGGCUGGCGGGCAU